CCUCGCUUUCUUUGCAGGGAGCAGGUAUGUAUGUUCCCUAUUAUGUCUGGAGGCAAAGGGAAAGGGCUUCAGUCCCCUAGGCAUCAUGUCUUUGGUGCCGGUGGCUUCCUGUCUGCUAAUUCUAUCCUCAAGCACUGGGACACAG
rfam:Gorilla gorilla gorilla genomic chromosome, chr5, whole genome shotgun sequence